AGAGGCCCAAGUUGACAAGCCCCGGCAUAAAAAGUGGUUAAUACAGUAUUACACUAAAGUUAAACAUCUUCAAAGCAGUUAUACGCCCCUGAGGACAGGAAGACCUCCUACGAAAGUGACUUUAAAUAAUAUAACCCCACGAAAGCUAGGAAACAAACUGGGAUUAGAUACCCCACUAUGCCUAGCCUUAAACACAAGUGAUAACAUACAUCAUUGCUUGCCAGGGGACUACGAGCCCCAGCUUAAAACCCAAAGGACUUGGCGGUGCUUUAGACCCACCUAGAGGAGCCUGUUCUAGAACCGAUAACCCCCGUUAAACCUCACCCUCUCUUGUUUAUCCCGCCUAUAUACCGCCGUCGUCAGCUUACCCUAUGAGGGCUUAAUAGUAAGCACAAUUGGUAAAACCCAAAACGCCAGGUCGAGGUGUAGCGCACGAGAGGGCAAGAAAUGGGCUACAUUCACUGAUCCAGUAAAUACGAACAAUGCCUUGAAACAGACAUUCAAAGGAGGAUUUAGCAGUAAGGAAGAAUAAGAGUGCCUUCCUGAAUCUGGCCCUGAAGCGCGCACACACCGCCCGUCACUCUCCCCAAACCAAACAAAUUAGUAAAUAAAUAAUAAAGUAAAUAAAGGGGAGGCAAGUCGUAACAUGGUAAGUGUACCGGAAGGUGUACUUGGAAAAAUCAGAACGUAGCUAAA
rnacentral:rRNA from 1 species